AACAAAACAAAAACCAAAAAACAAACAAACAAACAAACACCAGUACAACCCCAAAUAUAGACAAGCAGCUCUCUUUGUACCACUGGAGCUUGCUGUCACAGCUCAAGCAGAGGAAAUAGUAGAUUUGCCUGUGUACGUUCGGGGUUAUGCCAACUCAGUGACACUUGGUGUCUGUAAUACACGCAAAUCCUUAAUGUACACAAAAUCUUCCCUGCCUCCCCUAAUCAUAUGCAUCCUGCAAACAGGCCAGAACUCGUGGAUUAAAUCUACUGAGGCCCAAAAUAAAUUAAAUCUCCGAAUCACAGUAAGCUUGCAAGCCGCGGCCAUUCAAAUUGAAGUUUGUCAUUAUUUACGUCAAUUUUCCUGGCCUCCCACACAGCCUGCAAGUACCCAAUGUUCCUACAGCAACAGCAGAGCCCGUACUCUGUGUCCUGGUACUGCUGAGAAAGUUAGUUCUUUUAAAGACAACACAAAGUAAAAGAAAUGCCCUUCUUCUGAUGACUCUAGGGAAACACAAUAUACCCUCAGGGAUACGUUGCAUCCUCAGGAGGGAAUUACCGGGGUUCCUAACUCCCGAUGGCUGGGGCAAUAAACAUUACACAAGCAACUGUUUGCUCAGGGAGCAUUUUUUCCCCAGCAAUCCGGCAAUUCCCCAGCACACCUCCCACAGCAGCUGGCCGGGCACCUUCUGCGGCCCAGGCAGGUAUGGCCCAAGCCUCACAAACCGAUGCUCGGCCCUACAGUGGGCACGAGCUCAGGAUCAAAGCCGUGACGUGGGAGCCUGAAGACAUCCCAAUUGCCCAUCCACUUUGCUCGCCCCUUCUCCUCUUCCCCUCCGCAGGGGCACCACUGGGGCCAGGGGAUCGCACCGCCGCGGCCGCCGGCCUGUCACACCUGGCUUUUCUCCUCCUGCUUGGGGCUCUGGGCCGACGACGAGGAUGGUGGCGGCGGUGGAGGUGGCGGCGCGGCCUGCGGCUCGCUCUCGGCACGCUGGUGCCUGCUGACGAGCGACUUGAGGGGCGCCAUCCACUUCAUCCAGAGGUCCAGGUCGACGUCGCCCCACGGCAGGUUGGGGUCCUUGGCCGCCCGCCGCCGAAAGUCCUCGUCGUAGCUCAUCCACGAGGUGCCCCCGUAGGUGGCGUGCAGCUUGCGGAUGAGAUCCGAACCUUCUCGUAG
rnacentral:lncRNA from 1 species